rnacentral:rRNA from 1 species
AGAGUUGAUCCUGGCUCAGAUUGAACGCUGGCGGCAGGCCUAAUACAUGCAAGUCGAACGGUAACAUGGAAGUAGCAAUACUUUGAUGACGAGUGGCGGACGGGUGAGUAAUAUUGGGAAUCUACCUAUCAGAGGGGGAUAGCAACUGGAAACGGUUGAUAAAACCGCGUACGCUCUGAGGAGGAAAGUAAUGGGAUCGCAAGACCAUUAGCUGAUAGAUGAGCCCAAACGGGAUUAGCUAGUAGGCGGGGUAAGGGCCCACCUAGGCGACGAUCUCUAGCUGGUUUUAGCGGAUGAUCAGCCACAUUGGAACUGAGACACGGUCCAAACUCCUACGGGAGGCAGUAGUAGGGAAUAUUGCACAAUGGAGGGAACUCUGAUGCAGCCAUGCCGCGUUGUGUGAAGAAGGCCUUCGGGUUGUAAAGCACUUUAGUUUUCGAGAAAGGGUGCAAUUCGAACAGGGUUGUAUUCAGAUGUUAGAAAAAGAAUAAGUACCGGCAAACUCCGUGCCAGCCGCUGC